rnacentral:lncRNA from 1 species
UUUCAUUGACCAUGGGUUGGAAUAGUUCUGUGGGCAUAGUGUGUCUUCGAAGCCACUAUGUUUUCUGCACUUGUGACUAGAGAGCACCUUGAUAGCUCAGUUGGUAGAGCGGUGGACUGUAAGAUGCUCCUUGUGUGAAACGCUGUGAUCCUAAGGUCGCUGGUUCAACUCCAGCUCCAAGCACCUCCUUGUCAUUGGAAAUACCCCCAAGCCUUGUCUUUAUCUGUCAACUCCUCCAAAAUGUCAAAACACAAAGAAGAUAACUCUUUCUUAAAUUUUCAACCAUCAAUUUUUUAUUCACUCAGCCUAAAAGUCCUGAUUAUCAGUUCUGGGUCCCUGGCAAUGACUGUUGGGUACAAACUGCAAAGCUUUGUUCUGCAGGUAGGGCUGGGCUUUUCAUUGACCAUGGGUUGGAAUAGUUCUGUGGGCAUAGUGUGUCUUCGAAGCCACUAUGUUUUCUGCACUUGUGACUAGAGAGCACCUUGAUAGCUCAGUUGGUAGAGCGGUGGACUGUAAGAUGCUCCUUGUGUGAAACGCUGUGAUCCUAAGGUCGCUGGUUCAACUCCAGCUCCAAGCACCUCCUUGUCAUUGGAAAUACCCCCAAGCCUUGUCUUUAUCUGUCAACUCCUCCAAAAUGUCAAAACACAAACAAGAUAACUCUUUCUUAAAUUUUCAACCAUCAAUUUUUUAUUCACCCAGCCUAAAAGUCCUGAUUAUCAGUUCUGGGUCCCUGGCAAUGACUGUUGGGUACAAACUGCAAAGCUUUGUUCUGCAGGUAGGGCUGGGCUUUUCAUUGACCAUGGGUUGGAAUAGUUCUGUGGGCAUAGUGUGUCUUCGAAGCCACUAUGUUUUCUGCACUUGUGACUAGAGAGCACCUUGAUAGCUCAGUUGGUAGAGCGGUGGACUGUAAGAUGCUCCUUGUGUGAAACGCUGUGAUCCUAAGGUCGCUGGUUCAACUCCAGCUCCAAGCACCUCCUUGUCAUUGGAAAUACCCCCAAGCCUUGUCUUUAUCUGUCAACUCCUCCAAAAUGUCAAAACACAAAGAAGAUAACUCUUUCUUAAAUUUUCAACCAUCAAUUUUUUAUUCACUCAGCCUAAAAGUCCUGAUUAUCAGUUCUGGGUCCCUGGCAAUGACUGUUGGGUACAAACUGCAAAGCUUUGUUCUGCAGGUAGGGCUGGGCUUUUCAUUGACCAUGGGUUGGAAUAGUUCUGUGGGCAUAGUGUGUCUUCGAAGCCACUAUGUUUUCUGCACUUGUGACUAGAGAGCACCUUGAUAGCUCAGUUGGUAGAGCGGUGGACUGUAAGAUGCUCCUUGUGAGAAACGCUGUGAUCCUAAGGUCGCUGGUUCAACUCCAGCUCCAAGCACCUCCUUGUCAUUGGAAAUACCCCCAAGCCUUGUCUUUAUCUGUCAACUCCUCCAAAAUGUCAAAACACAAACAAGAUAACUCUUUCUUAAAUUUUCAACCAUCAAUUUUUUAUUCACCCAGCCUAAAAGUCCUGAUUAUCAGUUCUGGGUCCCUGGCAAUGACUGUUGGGUACAAACUGCAAAGCUUUGUUCUGCAGGUAGGGCUGGGCUUUUCAUUGACCAUGGGUUGGAAUAGUUCUGUGGGCAUAGUGUGUCUUCGAAGCCACUAUGUUUUCUGCACUUGUGACUAGAGAGCACCUUGAUAGCUCAGUUGGUAGAGCGGUGGACUGUAAGAUGCUCCUUGUGUGAAACGCCGUGAUCCUAAGGUCGCUGGUUCAACUCCAGCUCCAAGCACCUCCUUGUCAUUGGAAAUACCCCCAAGCCUUGUCUUUAUCUGUCAACUCCUCCAAAAUGUCAAAACACAAAGAAGAUAACUCUUUCUUAAAUUUUCAACCAUCAAUUUUUUAUUCACUCAGCCUAAAAGUCCUGAUUAUCAGUUCUGGGUCCCUGGCAAUGACUGUUGGGUACAAACUGCAAAGCUUUGUUCUGCAGGUAGGGCUGGGCUUUUCAUUGACCAUGGGUUGGAAUAGUUCUGUGGGCAUAGUGUGUCUUCGAAGCCACUAUGUUUUCUGCACUUGUGACUAGAGAGCACCUUGAUAGCUCAGUUGGUAGAGCGGUUGGACUGUAAGAUGCUCCUUGUGUGAAACGCUGUGAUCCUAAGGUCGCUGGUUCAACUCCAGCUCCAAGCACCUCCUUGUCAUUGGAAAUACCCCCAAGCCUUGUCUUUAUCUGUCAACUCCUCCAAAAUGUCAAAACACAAAGAAGAUAACUCUUUCUUAAAUUUUCAACCAUCAAUUUUUUAUUCACUCAGCCUAAAAGUCCUGAUUAUCAGUUCUGGGUCCCUGGCAAUGACUGUUGGGUACAAACUGCAAAGCUUUGUUCUGCAGGUAGGGCUGGGCUUUUCAUUGACCAUGGGUUGGAAUAGUUCUGUGGGCAUAGUGUGUCUUCGAAGCCACUAUGUUUUCUGCACUUGUGACUAGAGAGCACCUUGAUAGCUCAGUUGGUAGAGCGGUGGACUGUAAGAUGCUCCUUGUGUGAAACGCUGUGAUCCUAAGGUCGCUGGUUCAACUCCAGCUCCAAGCACCUCCUUGUCAUUGGAAAUACCCCCAAGCCUUGUCUUUAUCUGUCAACUCCUCCAAAAUGUCAAAACACAAACAAGAUAACUCUUUCUUAAAUUUUCAACCAUCAAUUUUUUAUUCACCCAGCCUAAAAGUCCUGAUUAUCAGUUCUGGGUCCCUGGCAAUGACUGUUGGGUACAAACUGCAAAGCUUUGUUCUGCAGGUAGGGCUGGGCUUUUCAUUGACCAUGGGUUGGAAUAGUUCUGUGGGCAUAGUGUGUCUUCGAAGCCACUAUGUUUUCUGCACUUGUGACUAGAGAGCACCUUGAUAGCUCAGUUGGUAGAGCGGUGGCCUGUAAGAUGCUCCUUGUGUGAAACGCCGUGAUCCUAAGGUCGCUGGUUCAACUCCAGCUCCAAGCACCUCCUUGUCAUUGGAAAUACCCCCAAGCCUUGUCUUUAUCUGUCAACUCCUCCAAAAUGUCAAAACACAAACAAGAUAACUCUUUCUUAAAUUUUCAACCAUCAAUUUUUUAUUCACCCAGCCUAAAAGUCCUGAUUAUCAGUUCUGGGUCCCUGGCAAUGACUGUUGGGUACAAACUGCAAAGCUUUGUUCUGCAGGUAGGGCUGGGCUUUUCAUUGACCAUGGGUUGGAAUAGUUCUGUGGGCAUAGUGUGUCUUCGAAGCCACUAUGUUUUCUGCACUUGUGACUAGAGAGCACCUUGAUAGCUCAGUUGGUAGAGCGGUGGACUGUAAGAUGCUCCUUGUGUGAAACGCUGUGAUCCUAAGGUCGCUGGUUCAACUCCAGCUCCAAGCACCUCCUUGUCAUUGGAAAUACCCCCAAGCCUUGUCUUUAUCUGUCAACUCCUCCAAAAUGUCAAAACACAAACAAGAUAACUCUUUCUUAAAUUUUCAACCAUCAAUUUUUUAUUCACCCAGCCUAAAAGUCCUGAUUAUCAGUUCUGGGUCCCUGGCAAUGACUGUUGGGUACAAACUGCAAAGCUUUGUUCUGCAGGUAGGGCUGGGCUUUUCAUUGACCAUGGGUUGGAAUAGUUCUGUGGGCAUAGUGUGUCUUUGAAGCCACUAUGUUUUCUGCACUUGUGACUAGAGAGCACCUUGAUAGCUCAGUUGGUAGAGCGGUGGACUGUAAGAUGCUCCUUGUGUGAAAAGCUGUGAUCCUAAGGUCGCUGGUUCAACUCCAGCUCCA